rnacentral:rRNA from 1 species
AUUGAACGCUGGCGGCGUGCUUUACACAUGCAAGUCGAACGGCAGCGCGGGCUUCGGCCUGGCGGCGAGUGGCGAACGGGUGAGUAAUACAUCGGAACGUGCCCAGUAGUGGGGGAUAGCUCGGCGAAAGCCGGAUUAAUACCGCAUACGACCUGAGGGUGAAAGCGGGGGAUCUUCGGACCUCGCGCUAUUGGAGCGGCCGAUGGCAGAUUAGCUAGUUGGUGGGGUAAAGGCCUACCAAGGCGACGAUCUGUAGCUGGUCUGAGAGGACGACCAGCCACACUGGGAUUGAGACACGGCCCAGACUCCUACGGGAGGCAGCAGUGGGGAAUUUUGGACAAUGGGCGAAAGCCUGAUCCAGCAAUGCCGCGUGUGUGAUGAAGGCCUUCGGGUUGUAAAGCACUUUUGGCGGGAACGAAAAGGACUGUGCCAAUACCACGGUUCGAUGACGGUACCCGCAGAAUAAGCACCGGCUAACUACGU